GACGAACGCUGGCGGCGUGCCUAAUACAUGCAAGUUGAGCGAUGAAGAUUGGUGCUUGCACCAAUUUGAAGAGCAGCGAACGGGUGAGUAACGCGUGGGGAAUCUGCCUUUGAGCGGGGACAACAUUUGGAAACGAAUGCUAAUACCGCAUAACAACUUUAAACAUAAGUUUUAAGUUUGAAAGAUGCAAUUGCAUCACUCAAAGAUGAUCCCGCGUUGUAUUAGCUAGUUGGUGAGGUAAAGGCUCACCAAGGCGAUGAUACAUAGCCGACCUGAGAGGGUGAUCGGCCACAUUGGGACUGAGACACGGCCCAAACUCCUACGGGAGGCAGCAGUAGGGAAUCUUCGGCAAUGGACGAAAGUCUGACCGAGCAACGCCGCGGGAGUGAAGAAGGUUUUCGGAUCGUAAAACUCUGUUGGUAGAGAAGAACGUUGGUGAGAGUGGAAAGCUCAUCAAGUGACGGUAACUACCCAGAAAGGGACGGCUAACUACGUG
rnacentral:rRNA from 1 species